UCCUCCCGCCAAAUGCAACUUCUCCUCACACUUUCCCGCCAAAAUCCCUCCUUCCAUACCCCCACCACUCGCUCUCGCUUUCUCCCUAUUGUCUCUACGCACAGAACUCGAUCCGGCCCUCUCGAUAUUGUGUACAGAUGAAGAACCUCGACUUCGCCGCCGACAAAGCCCUCGCCAAGGAUUUCCUUAACAACUUUGCGAACACACACGGAGAACCCAAAUACCUGAAUCUCCUUCAAGAUGUUGCCAAUCGCCGUACCCGCUCCGUCCAGAUCGAGCUUGACGAUCUCUUCAAUUACAAGGAUUUGGACGAAGAGUUUUUGCAGAGGGUGACCGAGAACACGCGUAGAUAUAUCGGCAUAUUUGCUGAGGCGGUGGAUGAGCUGAUGCCUGAACCAACGGAGCUGUUCUCUGCUGAAGAUGAUCAUGAUAUUCUCAUGACGCAGAGGGCUGAAGAUUUGACGGACAGUGCGGAUCAGUCCGAUCCUUUUCGCAGGAUGCCACCCGAUAUUAAACGAUUCUUUGAAGUCUACAUAAAGGCAUUCUCAAAAGGAACACCUCUUACCAUACGGCAAGUUAAAGCAUCAAAUAUUGGGCAGCUUGUAAAGAUCUCGGGCAUUGUUACACGGUGUUCCGAUGUGAAACCCUUGAUGCAAGUUGCUGUUUACACAUGUGAAGAAUGUGGAUUUGAGAUCUAUCAGGAAGUGACUGCUCGAGUAUUUAUGCCUCUUUUUGAGUGCCCAUCAGUUCGGUGCAAAACAAACAACACCAAGGGAAACCUUAUACUUCAGCUGAGAGCUUCCAAGUUUUUGAAAUUUCAAGAGGCUAAGAUUCAAGAGUUAGCAGAACAUGUUCCGAAAGGUCAUAUUCCUCGGUCUUUGACUUGUCAUCUCAGAGGAGAGCUAACGAGGAAGGUUGCUCCAGGUGAUGUUGUCGAGCUCUCUGGAAUUUUCCUACCAAUUCCGUAUACAGGAUUCAGAGCUAUGAGGGCCGGCUUAAUUGCAGAUACAUACUUGGAGACCAUGUCUGUCACCCAUUUUAAGAAGAAAUAUGAAGACUAUGAACUUAGUGAGGAUGAGCAGAAACAAAUUGAAGGCCUUGCUGAGGAUGGAGAUAUAUACAAUAAGCUUUCAAGAUCAUUAGCUCCUGAAAUUUUUGGUCACGAGGAUGUGAAAAAGGCUCUUCUUCUCCUUCUUGUUGGUGCACCUCACCGGAAGCUCUCUGAUGGUAUGAAGAUCAGAGGUGAUUUGCAUAUAUGCUUGAUGGGUGAUCCUGGUGUUGCAAAAAGUCAGCUGCUUAAGCAUAUUAUAAAUGUAGCACCAAGAGGGGUGUAUACAACCGGAAGAGGAAGCAGCGGCGUUGGCCUAACUGCAGCUGUCCAGAGAGAUACUGUCACAAAUGAGAUGAUUCUUGAAGGAGGUGCUCUGGUACUUGCUGAUAUGGGAAUAUGUGCCAUUGAUGAGUUUGAUAAGAUGGAAGAAUCAGAUAGAACAGCCAUUCAUGAAGUUAUGGAGCAGCAGACAGUUAGCAUUGCGAAGGCUGGAAUCACUACUUCACUUAAUGCCCGAACCGCCGUCCUUGCUGCUGCAAAUCCAGCCUGGGGAAGAUAUGAUUUGCGACGAUCUCCAGCCGAAAAUAUUAAUCUUCCUCCUGCCCUUCUUUCUCGCUUUGAUCUCCUUUGGCUAAUUCUGGACAGAGCAGACAUGGACAAUGAUCUUGAAAUGGCAAGACAUGUUGUCCACGUCCAUCAGAACCUUGAAUCACCUUCACUUGGGUUUACACCUCUUGAACCAUCGGUCCUGAGAGCAUAUAUUUCGACUGCCAGAAGAACAAGUCCUUCUGUGCCAAAAGAUCUCGAAGAAUAUAUAGCUACUGCUUACUCAAGCAUUCGCCAAGAAGAAGCUAAAUCAAGCGCACCUCACUCUUACACCACUGUCAGGACACUAUUGAGCAUCCUACGGAUCUCCAUUUCACUGGCGAGGCUUCGGUUUUCAGCAACCGUUGCUCAGAGUGACGUGGAUGAGGCAUUGCGAUUGAUGCAAAUGUCAAAGUUCUCUUUGUAUUCAGAAGAUCGCCAAAGAUCUGGUUUGGAUGCCAUUUCGGACAUCUAUUCGAUUCUGAGGGAUGAGGCGGCUCGAUCUAACAGCUUAGAUGUGUCUUAUGCUCAUGCUCUCAACUGGAUUUCUAGAAAGGGAUACAGUGAAGCACAACUGAAAGAGUGCUUGGAAGAGUAUGCUGCCUUAAAUGUGUGGCAAAUCCAUCCCAACACCUUUGACAUUCGCUUCAUAGAUGCCUAACGUUGUGAAAUUCUGCUGCAGCGGUGUAUGAAGGGCACACAUCCUACCAUGAGAACCAGUGAAGAGUAGUAUUUCAAUCGUGUCGUCGACGAUCCCUCACCCCUGCGAGCGGAAGGAGGGAAAGACAUUCGUGACCUAGCAGCUCGUGCGACUUGUAGGAAGCUCGGCUGAGAGCUUGGAGAGGAAGGCUCGCGGAUCCUUCUCGCAUGCGUGAACAGAUCGACCAAACUUUUACUUGUUUGGUUCGAAUGUCAGCUCGGCUCGUUAGAAGAUGCCACUAUAUGACAAUUCUAGUCAAGAAUGCAGACGUUAGGGGUAUGAACAAGUUGAGCUGGAGCGAGUCCAAACUCUGACUUGUUAAAAAAUAUCAUGUUCGACUCGUUUAUAUAUCAUGUUCAAAAAAUGUUUGUUUGACUCGAAUCUUCAAACACAAGGUGUUCACGAAUAAUGAGCUACUUAAUCACACAACUAUAAGAUGU